rnacentral:ncRNA from 1 species
CCCGCUGAAUUUAGGUAUAUUAUCAAGCGGAGGAAAAUAAACUAACAAGGAUUCCUCUAUAGUAAGGGCGAGUGAACGGGGAAGAGCCCAACACCAAAUCCCUUGGCGCAAGUCAACGGGAAAUGUGGUGUUAAGGUAGCCCUUCGUAUCAGUCUAGGCGUCUCAAGUCCACCUGAUUGUGGCUCGAGCCCAGAGAGGGUGUAAGACCCUUAGAGACGGUGUAAGACCCGUACAGACGCUCCGACUGAUUCCUGGGGUUUACCUACGAGUCGGCUUGUUUGGGAAUGCAGGCCAAAGCGGGUGCUAAACUAUCCAAGGCUAAAUACUGGCACGAGUCCGAUUAGCAGACAAGUACCGUGAGGAAAAGUUGAAAAGAACUUUGAAGAGAGUUCAAUAGUACGUGAAACCGCCAAAAAAGCAAAAAACAAGAAAGAAAAAAGACGUAGAGCCUUUGCCUAAAUGCAGAGAAUCUACGAAAUAAUAGGAAAAGAGCAGCAGAGGCAGUUUUACUGGAAGCUUGGAGAACUUAGGAUGAGGAAGAUACAACUAACAACAGUAUAGAUAAUCAGUCCAAAUUCGGCUCGCGAGCUAAUUUCAAAUCCGUCUGGCUCGGACGAUAGAUCUAUUAAACCUAUUAGCGAUCCGAUUACUAGUUUAUGUUGAGGACGCACCUUUUUUUCAAUUUUAGAAUCGCGCAUUUUGCUUCGAUGCGCUUUUCCCUACUGUCAGUAGGCGAGCUUAGGAAUUUCUCUCCAUUCUCUCAUCUAGGCUAAGUUCUAUACUAAUUUAUGCCAUUACUAUUAAUUAUGUUAAAUACUCAAUGUACUUCUCUUAGGAUUCUAAUUUUGGAUUGUUUACGCGUCUUUGAAGGU